ACUCCUACGGGAGGCAGCAGUGGGGAAUAUUGCACAAUGGGCGCAAGCCUGAUGCAGCCAUGCCGCGUGUGUGAAGAAGGCCUUCGGGUUGUAAAGCACUUUCAGUCGUGAGGAAGGGUAGUAGUAGUUAAUAGCUGCUAUAUUUGACGUUAGCGACAGAAGAAGCACCGGCUAACUCCGUGCCAGCAGCCGCGGUAAUACGGAGGGUGCGAGCGUUAAUCGGAAUUACUGGGCGUAAAGCGCAUGCAGGUGGCUUUGUUAAGUCAGAUGUGAAAGCCGG
rnacentral:rRNA from 1 species